AUGGACCUCCUCAGUGCGCUGCCCGACGAACUCCUGGUCACCAUCCUGCAUGGCCUCGACACCCGCUCCGCGCUCGCCACCGCCAUCCUAGCCAAGCGCUGGGCGCGCCUCCCCCGCCAGCUCCGCGCCAUCGACUUUAGG
rnacentral:rRNA from 1 species